ensembl:lncRNA
UUAGCGGGGCAUUCAGUCAACUGUCAGUGGAAUGGUGGUCGUGGGGUGAAGAAUGAGGUUGGUCAUAACUUUUCUUCUGAGGAGAAAGCAUCUUUUAUUUUCAUGGCUGCUGUCACCAUCUGCAGUGAUUUUGGAGUUAAGUUGCACACAGUGGGAGUUUAAGCUGUCCACUUGACACCAGGCCUGUCCCAGAAUGAAGCUGUUUUUCAUGACUUCAGAAGUGCAGACACUGAUCAAGAUGGAAACCUCACAGGGAAACCCUGGUCUGAAAUGCCAUUUCACUCCAGUUUCUUUAGUAUUAUGCAGUGUGGUUGCAAGAUGUGCUGAAAUGGAAAUUUAGUGCUGCUGUAUUCUGAGAUGUAUUUACAUGGUGUUUUUGUAGUCUGUGCAUGUUCCUUCUGUUUAUUACUAAAUAAGCUCUGGUUUCAUCGUUGUUGAUUUAAUCGAAGACUGACAUACUGACAUUGAAAAGAUGAUGUAAGAUUGUAUCUCAGAGUAAAACAUACAGCCUAGAAACUGGAAAUCAGAA